rnacentral:rRNA from 1 species
UACAGAGGUCUCAAGCGUUGUUCGGAAUUACUGGGCGUAAAGGGCGCGUAGGCGGCCUUCUAAGUCGAACGUGAAAUCCCCGGGCUCAACCCGGGAACUGCGUCCGAGACUGGAAGGCUCGAAUCCGGGAGAGGGAUGUGGAAUUCCAGGUGUAGCGGUGAAAUGCGUAGAUAUCUGGAGGAACAUCGGUGGCGAAGGCGGCAUCCUGGACCGGUAUUGACGCUGAGGCGCGAAAGCCAGGGGAGCAAACGGG